GAAAGAUGGCUUCACGUUUAUUUUAAGAAAAUUCACUCAAUUAUGUGGAUUUGAUUGAGAUGUUUGCAUUUGAAUCUCAACAACGGCAGUGAUCAGAUGACAUUUUGAAGGAGCAGAUCAACAGCGAGCAUGUUAAGAGGUAAGCAUUAACAGUUUAUCAUUUUAUUGUCUUAAGUAGCCUAAGCUCUUUCAGGAAAGACACAUGCUGUUCAAACUUGUUCAGGAGGUUAGUUUUUGCCAUAUGAUGUAUAUAGGGAUACACGGGUAUUUUUAACCACCCAUUCCUAUUUGAAAUUGAUUUGCUUCAAUAUUCAUUCUGAAUUAUAUAAUGAAAUUGAACAAAUUAUUUGCAUCGUAAUAUUUAACAGCAAUGAUCAGGCAACAGUUAAGCAGGGUGGACGAACAACAGUGAGCUUGUUAAGUGGUAAGUCUAAGCUAAGCUAAGUUAGCUAGCUAUUCAAUGGGGUUUAUGCACAGCUAGUGCUUUUCCAUUUCAUAAGGUUCCUUUUACAGCAUUGAUGAUGUAAUGUAAUGAACUGUGUUUAUAUAUAAUACUGUACAUAAAUACUAAUAUUUGUUUGCUUCAUUUUUCAGAUCAAAGAAAACGUUUGCAGUAUUUUCCCACUAAAGAGGAGCAGUUUAUUGAGGCAGAUUUUGAUAAAGAGAAUGGGUGCCAUACAUCAGACCUCACAUUAAAUCAGGGAUGAAUCGAGAGAUGUCGUCCUCUGUUGCUGGUCUAUCUGUAUAAAUAAGAUGAAGAGCUCAUCCAGGAGUGCAAUUGUGGGAAUGCACAGAGAAUUGUUGUCUGUCAGAGGGAUGACCAACCAUGAGGACUUCUGCAUUGUCUUGGAGGAUAAGCGAGUCAUGGCUAGCUUGGAAAAUCUAGAAUUGCUGAACUAGAUUUAUACAAAUAUUCUCCAAAUAAAAAUCACUUACAAAGAAACGAAUAUUAAAUUUGACACAAAUUCACUGCUAAAAC